rfam:Triticum aestivum genome assembly, contig: Triticum_aestivum_CS42_TGACv1_scaffold_289541_4AL
UACAUACUCCCUCCAUCCGAAAAUACUUGUCUUCAAAAUGAAUAAAAGAGAAUGUACCUAGAUGUAUUUUAGUUUUGGAUACAUCCCUUUUUGUCUAUUUUGAUGACAAGUAUUUUCAAACGGAGGGAGUACAUA